rnacentral:rRNA from 1 species
AGAGUUUGAUCCUGGCUCAGAACGAACGCUGGCGGCGUGGAUUAGGCAUGCAAGUCGAACGCGAAAGUUCCCUUCGGGGGACGAGUAGAUGGCGGAUAGGUGAGUAACACGUGGGUAAUUUGCCUUAAACCUGGGGAUAACCAUUCGAAAGGAUGGCUAAUACCGAAUGUGGUCACACCGGGGCAUCCCGGAGUGAUUAAAGGUGGGGACCUUUCGAGGCCUACCGGUUUUUGAUAAACCCGCGUCCUAUUAGCUUGUUGGUGGGGUAACGGCCCACCAAGGCUGUGAUGGGUAGCCGGACUGAGAGGUUGGCCGGCCACACUGGGACUGAGACACUGCCCAGACUCCUACGGGAGGCUGCAGUCGAGAAUCUUUCGCAAUGGGCGCAAGCCUGACGAAGCGACGCCGCGUGGACGAUGAAGGCCUUCGGGUUGUAAAGUCCUGUCACGAGGGAUGAAUAGGAAACGUGUGAAUAAUGCGUUUUUUUGACAGUACCUUGAGAGGAAGCUCCGGCUAACUCCGUGCCAGCAGCCGCGGUAACACGGGGGGAGCAAGCGUUGUUCGGAUUUACUGGGCGUAAAGGGCGUCUAGGCGGUUAGAAAAGUCGGAUGUGAAAUCCCUCGGCUUAACCGGGGAAUUGCAUUCGAAACUUUCAAACUUGAGUACAGCAAAGGUAAGCGGAAUUCUGAGUGUAGCGGUGGAAUGCGUAGAUAUUCAGAAGAACACCAGUGGCGAAGGCGGCUUACUCGGCUGUUACUGACGCUGAAGCGCGAAAGCCAGGGUAGCGAACGGGAUUAGAUACCCCGGUAGUCCUGGCUGUAAACGAUGUGCACUUGGUGUAGGAGGUAUCGACCCCUUCUGUGCCGUAGUUAACGCGAUAAGUGCACCGCCUGGGGAGUACGGCCGCAAGGCUAAAACUCAAAGGAAUUGACGGGGGCCCGCACAAGCGGUGGAGCAUGUGGUUUAAUUCGAUGCAACGCGAAGAACCUUACCAGGGCUUGACAUGUACCUGAUCGGUGUCGAAAGGCAUUUUUCCUUCGGGACAGGUACACAGGUGCUGCAUGGCUGUCGUCAGCUCGUGUCGUGAGAUGUUGGGUUAAGUCCCGCAACGAGCGCAACCCUUACUGUCUGUUACCAGCAUUUCGGAUGGGGACUCUGACAGGACUGCCGGUGUUAAGCCGGAGGAAGGUGGGGAUGACGUCAAGUCAGUAUGGCCCUUACGCCCUGGGCUACACACGUGCUACAAUGGUUGGGACAGAGGGUAGCCAAGCCGCGAGGUGGAGCAAAUCUCUAUCAAACCCGGCCCCAGUUCGGAUUGAAGUCUGCAACUCGACUUCAUGAAGUUGGAAUCGCUAGUAAUGGCGGAUCAUCAAUGCCGCCGUGAAUACGUUCCCGGGCCUUGUACACACCGCCCGUCACAUCACGAAAGUUGGCUGUACCAGAAGUCGUUGAGCUAACCCGUAAGGGGAGCAAACGCCGAAGGUAUGGUUGAUGAUUGGGAUGAAGUCGUAACAAGGUA